UACAAGUUUUCUUCUCCCAAAAACACUCUAAUAUGCGUAGUUCUUCCAAUCCUCUCGAUUACCAUCGUUAAGAAUGAGGAGUGGCACAACCUACCCAAUCUGGAAAUCAAUGGUUACGAUGAUCGAUGAUGAUGAUGAUGAUGGCCUCUCCAUUUCCAUGAUGUAGAGGGCAGAGCUGGAAUGAUGUCGGAAAUGGAAAGCAACGUCAAGAGACAUUCCACGUUGACUCCACACGCGCGCGAGCCGUUGUAGCAGAUUCAUGAAAUUCAGAUUUAAAUGAGGAAAAGAGGUGGUUUUUGACAUUCCAUUACCAUACUCCACAAAAUCCAGAGAAAACGACCAUGAAUAAAAAGGAGAAAAACUACAACCAACAACAUGAAUCUUACAGUUUGGUGUAAUUUAUCAGCAUUAAUUAGUAGUAUGUUGAAUUGAUAGAAUAAUUUAUUGGAAUUCUGUAUUUAAUCUGUUCAUACGUAAAUUGGAUUGCUUAUAUGUACACUAUUUUAUUAUGCAGUAUACUGAUUUGCCUCUUACCACUUUAACAUGAAAAUUGGAUAAAUGUAUAGAUGAGAUACUUGUAUGUACUACCAUGUUUAAUUACAGAUAGAUUCAUAAUACUUAGUUGUGAAAGAUUCUUUGAA